rnacentral:rRNA from 1 species
GUCUAUGGCCAUACCACCCUGAAUGUGGCUGAUCUCAGAAGCUAGGCAGGGUCAGGCCUGGUUAGUAUUUGGAUGGAAGAAAUAAAAUCUGUUGUGCAUC